GACGAGCGCUGGCGGCGUGCUUAACACAUGCAAGUCGAACGGAAAGGCCCUGCUUUUGUGGGGUGCUCGAGUGGCGAACGGGUGAGUAACACGUGAGUAACCUGCCCUUGACUUUGGGAUAACUUCAGGAAACUGGGGCUAAUACCGGAUAGGAGCUCCUGCUGCAUGGUGGGGGUUGGAAAGUUUCGGCGGUUGGGGAUGGACUCGCGGCUUAUCAGCUUGUUGGUGGGGUAGUGGCUUACCAAGGCUUUGACGGGUAGCCGGCCUGAGAGGGUGACCGGCCACAUUGGGUCUGAGAUACGGCCCAGACUCCUACGGGAGGCAGCAGUGGGGAAUAUUGCACAAUGGGCGGAAGCCUGAUGCAGCAACGCCGCGUGCGGGAUGACGGCCUUCGGGUUGUAAACCGCUUUCGCCUGUGACGAAGCGUGAGUGACGGUAAUGGGUAAAGAAGCACCGGCUAACUACGUG
rnacentral:rRNA from 1 species